rnacentral:lncRNA from 1 species
CAAAGAUCUGAUCAGACGGAAGCAUGAACAUAAAAACUAUGAUAUAGUCGCCAUCAUGGAAAUGUGGUGGAAUGACACACACAGCUGGAAUACUGAGAUUGAUGGCUACCAACAUUUCAAAAGAGAUAGGCAAGACAGGAAAGGCGGUGGUGUAGCCCUCUAUGUAAAGAAAGAAUAUGAAUGUAUGGAAAUUAAUGAUGGUGAUGAUAGGGUUGAGAGCUUAUGGGUCAGGACAAAAGCGAAGGACAAUAAUACUGAUGUUAUUGUGGGAGUCUGCUACAGGCCACUUAACCUCUAUGAGGGGAUUGAGCGCACCCUCAGUAAGUUUGCAGACGACACCAAGUUGGGAGGGCGUGUUGAUCUGCCAGAGGGUAGAAAGGCUUCACAGAAGAACCUGGAUAGACUGGAACAAUGGGCCAAGGUAAACUGGAUGAGUUUCAGUAGGGCCAAGUCUGGGGUCCUGCACUUUGGUCACAACAACUCCAGGCAACCCUACAGGCUUGGGGAGGAGUGGCUGGAAAGCUGCCUUAUGGACAGGGACCUUGGUGUGCUGAUGGACAGUUGGCUGAAUACGAGCCAGCAGUGUGCCCAGGUGGCCAAGAAGGCCAAUGGCAUCCUGGCUUGGAUCAGGAAUGGUGUGGUGAGCAGGACUAGGGAAGUAAUCCUGCACCUGUACUUGGCAUUGGUGAGGCCCCACCUCGAGUACUGUGUUCAGUUUUGGGCACCUCAGUAUAGAAAGGAAAUGGAGGUGCUGGAGCAGGUCCAAAGAAAGGCAACAAGGCUUGUGAAGGGCUUGGAGAAUAUGCCCUACUGGGAGAGACUAAAGGAACUGGGGCUGUUUAGUCUGGGGAAGAGGAGGCUGACGGGAGACUUCGUUGCUCUCUUCAAAUACCUGAAAGGUGAUUGCAGUGAGAGCGGGGCUGGACUCUUCUCACUGGUGACAACACAAGGGGAAAUGGCCUCAAGUUGUGCCAGGGGAGGCUUAGGUUGGAUAUCAGGAAACACUUCUUUACAAAAAGGGUUGUUAAGCACUGUAACAGGCUCCCCAGGGAGGUGCUUCAGUCGCCAUCCCUGAAUGUGUUUAAAAACUGUUUGGAUGUCAUGCUCAGGAACAUGAUUUAGUGAUGGGUUGUUAGGGUAUUAUGGUUAGGUUGCAGUUGGACUUGAUGAUCUUGAGGGUCUUCUCCAACCUGAGCAAUUCCAUGAUUCUAUAAACUGCUGCAUGGUGGGGAAUUAGAAAAGGC